UGGGGAAUAUUGGACAAUGGGCGAAAGCCUGAUCCAGCAAUGCCGCGUGGAUGAAGAAGGUCUUCGGAUUGUAAAGUCCUUUCGACGGGGACGAUGAUGACGGUACCCGUAGAAGAAGCCCCGGCUAACUUCGUGCCAGCAGCCGCGGUAAUACGAAGGGGGCUAGCGUUGCUCGGAAUUACUGGGCGUAAAGGGCGCGUAGGCGGCAUAGUCAGUCAGGCGUGAAAUUCCUGGGCUCAACCUGGGGACUGCGCUUGAUACGGCUGAGCUAGAGGAUGGAAGAGGGUCGUGGAAUUCCCAGUGUAGAGGUGAAAUUCGUAGAUAUUGGGAAGAACACCGGUGGCGAAGGCGGCGACCUGGUCCAUUACUGACGCUGAGGCGCGACAGCGUGGGGAGCAAACA
rnacentral:rRNA from 1 species